UAUUUAGUUGGCUGUUCAAGCUGCAAAGAAGCUCGUUGGAAUAUCUUCUGUAGUUGGAGAAGAAUGUGCACAUGUAAAGCUACUUGAGGUUGUGAAUGUUAAGAAACAAGUAGUGGCUGGAACUAAUUUUAUCCUUACCCUGAAAAUGAUCACCAAGACCGGACCAGAUUGUCAAGAUGAGGAGAUUAAAAUUUGCUCAAACAUAUAUGCCUACAAACCUCUACCAUACGCCUGUGAUUCAGAUGAUCAUUGCAUUGAAAUUAUAAGAUCUGGAGACAUAAACUGCCAUGGUGAACACUCUAUUGAGAUUCCAAUAGAUAUUGUUCCAAUGGAUCUAGGGGAAGGAAGAAAUAUGUUAACCAUCACAGAGCUGAAUAUUGAG